UAGUGAAGCUAGCCGAAUGAAAUCCGCGUAAUUACCCGCUCUAACUUAUUUUCGAGCGGUUAUCGGUCCGAUGCCGACCGAGCCCCAUAAAGUGCUACAAAAGUGCCGGAAUCUAACCCCGCUCUGCCCCCCGCAAGCAGCACUGCCUACAGCUUCAGCUAUAAAUAUUCGUGAUAACGAGUACUGAGCGAAACAGCUUCACUGUAGAAUUUGCCUUCUCUCUUUCUCUCAAUGCUGUCGUUGGAAACACAACAGAGAAUGUAUCGAGAGUCAAAUUGUGAAAAAACAGAUUCAGCAUACAGACAAACAAGCCGCCGCUGGUAUCAUAUUCCUAAUACUCGUUGAAAUCGCGUCAAAAGUAGCAAAGCAACAUAUCAACAGCAUAAAUGUUCCAAUGAUGUGCACGAUGGAGGAAAUCGUUAUGUGUUGAUUUAUGUUAAAAAUGCGACAACCGCCGAACACCUAGAGGACAUAUUCAAGCGGAAACAUCUGUGAUUACAAAAAUAUGGUAGUGGCAGGAAAAUCAUUUCGAAAGAGUGUCGAAUUUUCGUAGUCCGAUGAUGUAUUGAAUGAAUGACAACAUCGAUGGAGAUGAUGGAUGACCCCGGCAUAUCAGUGAUGUGCAAUCGAACGUCGUGAUUAUAAACAUAAACUGACUGGUGGAAUCAUUACACUGUAGCGCACUCGAUAACCCAACAACAACUUUAUCAAGAACAUUGAAGCUCAAGACGCAAACAAACUCUGUUAAUGUUGUCGAGGCCAGGUAUUGCAGAAUGCGAUAACGAUAGUUGAGCUGAUUGCAACCAAAUAUCCGAUGAUGAAAUUUACAUCUCUUGAGAUGUACCUGAUGACGAUAGAAAUCACCCGAUAGCGUUGGAAACGGUCGUGCUGGGUCCUACCGCGAGACUAUGAAGAAAUAUUGCGAAAAUUCAAAACUGAAAUAAUUAAUUAUUGAUAGUCGAAAAUGUUUAGCUUUAGAUAGUUUACCAUAAAUGUUAGUCAAUCCGUUUAAAGUAUUUAUAAUGUAGUGUCGGGGGGGUAAACAUAAUAUAACUGUAUAAAUUUAUAAAAAUA